CACACUCACACACACACACACUUGCUUUUACAGGCACAAAAUAAUAUGCUGGCUUUGAGACCAAUAGAAAAUAACCCUGGCUCCCUCUGAUUGAGCUGCAGGUUUCUAUGGAGACAGCGUCCUGGCAACAACUCUCAGCAGCCGUUUUCUUCCCAUCUACCAGGCCUAGUGGCAGCAGGCCCCAUGGAGAGAGAGAGGACCUGGCUUCCACUAGCAGCAGGAAGGGACGGAUGGACAUCCAGGCUGUCUAGCUGCGCUCUAUGAAUCUUUGCAUACAACUAUCCCAGAAGUAAAAACAUAUUAAAAAGCCGAGCAGAGACAUCCAGCAGAGAGGUUGCUAGGAUGCAAGGGAAGAAUGGGCAGCCAUGUCCUGCCCUAAUCCAACACUGGACAUACAUACACUUUCAGAACUGCAGAGAGCUGCGUGGAAUUUAAAUGCUGGUGGACAAGAUGCUGGAGACUUGGUCCCUGAAAAAGUGCUGAAUUUACGGCUU